GGUCAAGCUACAAAGGGCGCAUGGUGAAUGCCUUGGCAUCAGGAGCCGAUGAAGGACGUGAUAAGCUGCGAUAAGCUUCGGGUAGGCGCACAUAGCCUGAGAUCCGAAGAUCUCCGAAUGAGGAAACUCACAUGGGAAACCCCAUGUAUCAUUAAGUGAAUACAUAGCUUAAUGAAGGUAACCCAGGGAACUGAAACAUCUAAGUACCUGGAGGAAGAGAAAGAAAAAUCGAUUUUCUUAGUAGCGGCGAGCGAAAGGGAAAGAGCCCAAACCGGAAACUUGUUUCCGGGGUUGUGGACAUAGCAUCAAAGUGGAGGCUAUUGUAACUGAAGAGAACUGGAAAGUUC
rnacentral:rRNA from 1 species